UAAUGUAUGGGGAUCUGCCCGAUAGAGGGGGAUAACUACUGGAAACGGUGGCUAAUACCGCAUAAUGUCUACGGACCAAAGCAGGGGCUCUUCGGACCUUGCACUAUCGGAUGAACCCAUAUGGGAUUAGCUAGUAGGUGGGGUAAAGGCUCACCUAGGCGACGAUCUCUAGCUGGUCUGAGAGAUGAUCAGCCACACUGGGACUGAGACACGGCCCAG
rnacentral:rRNA from 1 species